CCUACGGGAGGCUGCAGUGGGGAAUAUUGGACAAUGGGGGGAACCCUGAUCCAGCCAUGCCGCGUGUGUGAAGAAGGCCCUCGGGUUGUAAAGCACUUUCAGUGAGGAAGAACGCCUGGUGGUUAAUACCCAUCAGGAAAGACAUCACUCACAGAAGAAGCACCGGCUAACUCCGUGCCAGCAGCCGCGGUAAUACGGAGGGUGCGAGCGUUAAUCGGAAUUACUGGGCGUAAAGCGCGCGUAGGUGGCUUGAUAAGCCGGUUGUGAAAGCCCCGGGCUCAACCUGGGAACGGCAUCCGGAACUGUCAAGCUAGAGUGCAGGAGAGGAAGGUAGAAUUCCCGGUGUAGCGGUGAAAUGCGUAGAGAUCGGGAGGAAUACCAGUGGCGAAGGCGGCCUUCUGGACUGACACCGACACUGAGGUGCGAAAGCGUGGGUAGCAAACAGGAUUAGAUACCCUGGUAGUC
rnacentral:rRNA from 1 species